rnacentral:rRNA from 1 species
UGAGGAAUAUUGGUCAAUGGGCGAGAGCCUGAACCAGCCAAGUCGCGUGAAGGAUGACUGCCCUAUGGGUUGUAAACUUCUUUUAUUUGGGAAGAAUAAGCGGUACGUGUACCGUGAUGCCUGUACCAAAUGAAUAAGCAUCGGCUAACUCCGUGCCAGCAGCCGCGGUAAUACGGAGGAUGCGAGCGUUAUCCGGAUUUAUUGGGUUUAAAGGGUGCGUAGGUGGUUUUGUAAGUUAGUGGUUAAAUUGUCGGGCUCAACCCGAUCUCGCCAUUAAAACUGCAAGACUAGAGUAUAGACGAGGUAGGCGGAAUAAGUUAAGUAGCGGUGAAAUGCUUAGAUAUAACUUAGAACUCCGAUAGCGAAGGCAGCUUACCAGGCUAUAACUGACACUGAUGCACGAGAGCGUGGGUAGCGAACA